rnacentral:rRNA from 1 species
GGGCCCGCACAAGCGGUGGAGUAUGUGGUUAAUUCGAUGCAACGCGAAGAACCUUACCAGGCCUUGACAUCCCCGGAACUUUCUAGAGAUAGAUUGGUGCCUUCGGGAACCGGGUGACAGGUGCUGCAUGGCCGUCGUCAGCUCGUGUCGUGAGAUGUUUGGUUAAGUCCAGCAACGAGCGCAACCCCUGUGGAUAGUUGCCAGCACGUAAUGGUGGGGACUCUAUCCAGACUGCCCAGGUCAACUGGGAGGAAGGUGGGGAUGACGUCAGGUCAGUAUGGCCCUUACGCCUAGGGCUGCACACGUACUACAAUGCCCAGUACAAUGAGAACCGAGACCGCGAGGUGGAGGAAAUCUGCAAAACUGGGCCCAGUUCGGAUUGGAGGCUGCAACUCGCCUCCAUG